rnacentral:rRNA from 1 species
GUGAACGCUGGCGGUAGGCCUAACACCUGCCAGUCGAACGGCAGCACCGUAAGAGCUUGCUCUUACGGGUGGCGAGUGGCGGACGGGUGAGGAAUACAUCGGAAUCUACUUUUUCGUGGGGGAUAACGUAGGGAAACUUACGCUAAUACCGCAUACGACCUACGGGUGAAAGCAGGGGAUCUUCGGACCUUGCGCGAUUGAAUGAGCCGAUGUCGGAUUAGCUAGUUGGCGGGGUAAAGGCCCACCAAGGCGACGAUCCGUAGCUGGUCUGAGAGGAUGAUCAGCCACACUGGAACUGAGACACGGUCCAGACUCCUACGGGAGGCAGCAGUGGGGAAUAUUGGACAAUGGGCGCAAGCCUGAUCCAGCCAUACCGCGUGGGUGAAGAAGGCCUUCGGGUUGUAAAGCCCUUUUGUUGGGAAAGAAAAGCAGCAGGUUAAUACCCCGCUGUUCGGACGGUACCCAAAGAAUAAGCACCGGCGAACUGCGU